UACCCAUGACACUCAUGUACCUUUUCAAACUCCUGAGACUUGUUUCUAUGUGGGCCUUCACAGUUGCUGUGAAGGGUCAGUAUAUCACCCAGUAUCCUGCAGUGAUCAAGAGCAGGGUCAAUGAGACAGUGACCCUUAAUUGCCAGUUUGUUGGAAUGGACUCGGCUUGCUACGCGGUUUCAUGCAUGAAACUGCACCCCAAGAGUGGCACGCUGGAUUUCGAGCACGAUGUUCGAGUAUGGAAGGAUGUUGGGAAAACGUCCUGCAAAGCAAACAUCUCCAUCGCAACCCCAGAGGACUCUGGGACAUACCACUGUGCUGUUGUGGUCCUGCAACAAUUGUUCAUUGGCAACGGAACAACAAUUGUUGUUGAAAGCAAUGACAGUCCCUCGGUUGAAAUUGCAUUGACUGUCCGCCACCAAAACAAUUCGAUUGCAGUCCUUACUUGCUUGGUCACCGGGAUCCACCCGUCCCAAGCGCGUGUGUUCUGGGUCCUGGGCGAGGGGAGAGAGGAGGGUGGUCAGUCUGAGCCCGUCUGGACCAAUAGCAGUGCCCCAGCUACUGUAUUCACACGGAACCGAGUUUCUCUCCCGUUUGGAUUGGGAGAGACCUGCACUUGUGUCGUGGAAUAUGCAGGGAGGACACUCAGCCGAAGUCUCACCUUAACAGGUAAGCCAAAACUCAGUUCUGCUAAAUAGGAUUUAAACAAACAGGACUAAAUACACUGAAUAUUGCAAUUAUAACAUGUUAUCAGAAUAACAAACAUGAAAGAGAUGUGUGCACCUAGCCCUGAGUUGAGAUUAGGUGAAAAAAAAUAUGUGUGUCUGCACAUUACAUCUUAGGCUACCGAAAUAUUAUUGUGCAAAUUUGGACUGUUUUUGUCAGAUCAGGCAAAUUAAGGAGUAUGGACUUCAGUUCACCCUGUACCUAUCAUAUAUUCAUUGAGAGAGUGAGUGAGAGGAUGAUUGAUUAAUUGAUUGAGUGAGUGAGAGGAUGAUUGAUUAAUUGAUUUAGUGAGUAAGUGAACAUAAGGGGAUGCUUGAGUGAGUGAUUUUACAAUUGAUUGAUUGACUGACUUAUCUAAUUUCUUAUUAAGAUCCUCGAGGAAUAUGCUACACUAUUGCCAGUGUACCUAGAAUGCUGGCCAUUGCAUCAGCUCUUCUGCUGCAGUUAAUGGUGGUUGCCAUGACACUGUAUUUCAGGAAUAUUAAAACAGAGAACAGGUCAGUGACAGGUUCAGACCAUAGAUGCUUCUCUUUGGAGAGA
rnacentral:lncRNA from 1 species